UCCAGACUCCUACGGGAGGCAGCAGUGGGGGAUAUUGCACAAUGGGGGGAACCCUGAUGCAGCGACGCCGCGUGGGUGAAGGAGCGUUUCGGCGCGUAAAGCCCCAUCGGCAGGGAAGAAGGAGGACGGUACCUGACUAAGAAGCCCCGGCUAACUACGUGCCAGCAGCCGCGGUAAUACGUAGGGGGCAAGCGUUAUCCGGAUUUACUGGGUGUAAAGGGGGCGCAGACGGCAGCGCAAGCCAGGAGUGAAAGCCCGGGGCCCAACCCCGGAACUGCUCUUGGAACUGCGCGGCUGGAGUGCAGGAGGGGCAGGCGGAAUUCCUGGUGUAGCGGUGAAAUGCGUAGAUAUCAGGAGGAACACCGGUGGCGAAGGCGGCCUGCUGGACUGCGACUGACGUUGAGGCCCGAAAGCGUGGGGAGCAAACAGGAUUAGAUACCCGUGUA
rnacentral:rRNA from 1 species